AGAGUUUGAUCCUGGCUCAGGACGAACGCUGGCGGCGUGCCUAAUACAUGCAAGUAGAACGCUGAAGAGAGGAGCUUGCUCUUCUUGGAUGAGUUGCGAACGGGUGAGUAACGCGUAGGUAACCUGCCUUGUAGCGGGGGAUAACUAUUGGAAACGAUAGCUAAUACCGCAUAACAAUGGAUGACACAUGUCAUUUAUUUGAAAGGGGCAAUUGUUCCACUACAAGAUGGACCUGCGUUGUAUUAGCUAGUAGGUGAGGUAAUGGCUCACCUAGGCGACGAUACAUAGCCGACCUGAGAGGGUGAUCGGCCACACUGGGACUGAGACACGGCCCAGACUCCUACGGGAGGCAGCAGUAGGGAAUCUUCGGCAAUGGGGGCAACCCUGACCGAGCAACGCCGCGUGAGUGAAGAAGGUUUUCGGAUCGUAAAGCUCUGUUGUAAGUCAAGAACGGGUGUGAGAGCGGAAAGUUCACACUGUGACGGUAGCUUACCAGAAAGGGACGGCUAACUACGUGCCAGCAGCCGCGGUAAUACGUAGGUCCCGAGCGUUGUCCGGAUUUAUUGGGCGUAAAGCGAGCGCAGGCGGUUUGAUAAGUCUGAAGUUAAAGGCUGUGGCUCAACCAUAGUUCGCUUUGGAAACUGUCAAACUUGAGUGCAGAAGGGGAGAGUGGAAUUCCAUGUGUAGCGGUGAAAUGCGUAGAUAUAUGGAGGAACACCGGUGGCGAAAGCGGCUCUCUGGUCUGUAACUGACGCUGAGGCUCGAAAGCGUGGGGAGCGAACAGGAUUAGAUACCCUGGUAGUCCACGCCGUAAACGAUGAGUGCUAGGUGUUGGAUCCUUUCCGGGAUUCAGUGCCGCAGCUAACGCAUUAAGCACUCCGCCUGGGGAGUACGACCGCAAGGUUGAAACUCAAAGGAAUUGACGGGGGCCCGCACAAGCGGUGGAGCAUGUGGUUUAAUUCGAAGCAACGCGAAGAACCUUACCAGGUCUUGACAUCCCGAUGCUAUUUCUAGAGAUAGAAAGUUACUUCGGUACAUCGGUGACAGGUGGUGCAUGGUUGUCGUCAGCUCGUGUCGUGAGAUGUUGGGUUAAGUCCCGCAACGAGCGCAACCCCUAUUGUUAGUUGCCAUCAUUCAGUUGGGCACCCUAGCGAGACUGCCGGUAAUAAACCGGAGGAAGGUGGGGAUGACGUCAAAUCAUCAUGCCCCUUAUGACCUGGGCUACACACGUGCUACAAUGGUUGGUACAACGAGUUGCGAGUCGGUGACGGCGAGCUAAUCUCUUAAAGCCAAUCUCAGUUCGGAUUGUAGGCUGCAACUCGCCUACAUGAAGUCGGAAUCGCUAGUAAUCGCGGAUCAGCACGCCGCGGUGAAUACGUUCCCGGGCCUUGUACACACCGCCCGUCACACCACGAGAGUUUGUAACACCCGAAGUCGGUGAGGUAACCUUUUGGAGCCAGCCGCCUAAGGUGGGACAGAUGAUUGGGGUGAAGUCGUAACAAGGUA
rnacentral:rRNA from 1 species